rnacentral:rRNA from 1 species
UGGGGAAUAUUGCACAAUGGGGGAAACCCUGAUGCAGCGACGCCGCGUGGAGGAAGAAGGUUUUCGGAUUGUAAACUCCUGUCUUCGGGGACGAUAAUGACGGUACCCGAGGAGGAAGCCACGGCUAACUACGUGCCAGCAGCCGCGGUAAAACGUAGGUGGCAAGCGUUGUCCGGAAUUACUGGGUGUAAAGGGAGCGCAGGCGGGUCGGCAAGUUGGAGGUGAAAGCUGUGGGCUCAACCCACAAACUGCCUUCAAAACUGCCGGUCUUGAGUGGUGUAGAGGUAGGCGGAAUUCCCGGUGUAGCGGUGGAAUGCGUAGAUAUCGGGAGGAACACCAGUGGCGAAGGCGGCCUACUGGGCACUAACUGACGCUGAGGCUCGAAAGCAUGGGUAGCAAACA